ACGGGAGGCAGCAGUGGGGAAUAUUGGACAAUGGGGGAAACCCUGAUCCAGCGACGCCGCGUGAGUGAAGAAGUAUUUCGGUAUGUAAAGCUCUAUCAGCAAGGAAGAAAAUGACGGUACUUGACUAAGAAGCUCCGGCUAAAUACGUGCCAGCAGCCGCGGUAAUACGUAUGGAGCAAGCGUUAUCCGGAUUUACUGGGUGUAAAGGGUGCGUAGGUGGCAUGGCAAGUCUGAAGUGAAAUGCGGGGGCUCAACCCCUGAACUGCUUUGGAAACUGUCAAGCUUGGGUACAGGAGAGGAAAGCGGAAUUCCUAGUGUAGCGGUGAAAUGCGUAGAUAUUAGGAGGAACACCAGUGGCGAAGGCGGCUUUCUGGACUGUAACUGACACUGAGGCACGAAAGCGUGGGGAGCAAACAGGAUUAGAUACCCUGGUA
rnacentral:rRNA from 1 species